CCAGAACGAUAUGCUGGCACCUUUACGUAGUAUUCUGGAUGAGUAACAGAAGGCGUACUUUCUGUGAAACCAAGACCAGC
rnacentral:ribozyme from 1 species